GCGGGCGUAGUUCAAUGGUAGAGCAUCGGCUUCCCAAGCCGAGGGUUGAGGGUUCGAGCCCCUUCGCCCGCUCCA
rnacentral:tRNA from 1 species